rnacentral:rRNA from 1 species
CCUACGGGUGGCAGCAGUGGGGAAUAUUGGACAAUGGGCGAAAGCCUGAUCCAGCCAUGCCGCGUGUGUGAAGAAGGCCUUCGGGUUGUAAAGCACUUUCAGUGGGGAAGAAAGCCUUGGGGCUAAUACCCUCGAGGAAGGACAUCACCCACAGAAGAAGCACCGGCUAACUCCGUGCCAGCAGCCGCGGUAAUACGGAGGGUGCGAGCGUUAAUCGGAAUUACUGGGCGUAAAGCGGGCGUAGGCGGUCUGAUAAGCCGGUUGUGAAAGCCCCGGGCUCAACCUGGGAACGGCAUCCGGAACUGUCAGGCUAGAGUGCAGGAGAGGAAGGUAGAAUUCCCGGUGUAGCGGUGAAAUGCGUAGAGAUCGGGAGGAAUACCAGUGGCGAAGGCGGCCUUCUGGACUGACACUGACGCUGAGGUGCGAAAGCGUGGGUAGCAAACAGGAUUAGAUACCCCAGUAGUC